UACGGGAGGCAGCAGUGGGGAAUAUUGCACAAUGGGCGAAAGCCUGAUGCAGCUAUGCCGCGUGUAUGAAGAAGGCCUUAGGGUUGUAAAGUACUUUCAUCGGGGAGGAAAAACAAAACUAAUAAUUUUAUUUCUUGACGUUACCCGAAAAAGAAGCACCGGCUAACUCCGUGCCAGCAGCCGCGGUAAUACGGAGGGUGCUAGCGUUAAUCAGAAUUACUGGGCGUAAAGAGCACGUAGGUGGUUUUUUUAAGUCAGAUGUGAAAUCCCCUGGGGCUUAACCUAGGAACUGCAUUUUUGAAACUGAAAUACUAGAGUAUCGUAGAGGGAGGUAGAAUUCUAGGUGUAGCGGUGAAAUGCGUAGAUAUCUGGAGGAAUACCUGUGGCGAAAGCGGCCUCCUAAACGAAUACUGACACUGAGGUGCGAAAGCGUGGGGAGCAAACAGGGAUUAGAUACC
rnacentral:rRNA from 1 species